CCAGGUGUGGUGGUAAUGGAAAGCUCUGUUUCCCAUAAAACCCUCUCUUUUCUGAAGAGGCAGCAGCAUUUCACAGGCUGGUGGCUGUUUGCUCAUCUCUCAGCUAUGUUUAAGCUUACAAGUGGUUUUUUUUUUUUCCCCACCUCCCCUUUCACAAAACCUAAACGUGCCUUUCUCUCCCAGCCCAGGACAUGGUGCAGGGUGAAGAGCACAGAUAAAGACGCUCCCACCACUCACUCCACAGCCUGUCCCACCCUCCUGAGGACUCCAUGAGGCAGGACACGGGCUGAUGCCCUCAGCUCACCCCACCAUGGAUGGGGGGAACAGCUUCCCACAGCACCAGCAGCCGGGCGAUGCCAUCCGCGGCAUCCCCGGCCUCCGCUCCCAGCUCGCCGUGCCGGACGUGGAGAAUUCCACGCUGGCCGCCGACUCAUGGAGUAGCUGCUACCCAGUCUCUUUCCCAACCUCCUCCUUCCCAAGUGAAAACCAGUGAGUGCUGUUCUCCUUUGUCUAAUCCUCUCUGCUCUUGGACGCUCCGUGAUUCAACUGUUUCUUUACUGAUUUCCAUAUUUACUUUAUUUCACGAUCUGAUGGGGAAAUAAUUGCAUCAUUCACCGAUCUUGUGGCAUUUCAGACACUGCUGCAGCUUGGAAACAGCAGCAAGCAGCUUUUAGUUUUUAAAGAUGAGAAAAACCCUUUGUUUUCUGGUAAACCUGGAGGCAGCAGUAAGGGAGGAGCAGCCUUGGUUUAGCCUGGGUUUGUAACACUAAUGGAAUUCUUAGCAGAUCUGACUGAGCAAACACACUGGGCAGUGUCUGGCUUUGCACAGAUCUGGAGGAAGGUGUUACCUGUACCAGGUGUCAGGUUUUGGGUGAAGUUAAAAUCCUUUGUCAUUUCACUGGAAGUGACUGACACUAACAGCCAUGUCAUGUCUGUACUGAAAAAUGUUGUUUUUCAUUUUCCCUCUUUACAAUGAGCCUCCAUUCUGGGUCACAAAGUGGGAUAUGGCAAAUGUUUGGAUAACAUAAAGUGGCCUUGUGCUGUCACUGAGUGACUUGGAUGGAGACUCUGGUGGGGCUGGAGGUUUGGAGGCUGAUCCAUGGCUUCUUUGAUCUCUGAAUCCAGGGAGUGGCACAGAUACACAGGUUGUGUUCUUUAUCUAGGUCAGGGGUGGGAAGAAGGAGAACUGAAAGAAGCAGAAUUUGACAUCCUGAGCUAACAACUGUGUUCCAGGUGCCUGGAAUUAAAGUGGGGGUUUAGUGUAGCCUCCCUCCUGGAGGGAUUUUGGUGUUUUCAUGGUGGGAUCCCUCGCUGUGAGGGUGUUCCAGGCAGGUGGGAGCAGUGAGGAUCAGCCCCUCUGUCAGGGGAUGAAGGGACUCGUGUCCCUGUGUCGGUUCUGCUGCGCUGGUGGCCCUGGGAAGGUGGAUGGACAGGGCAGUUCCCCAUGAGAGGGUACCAAAAGCUGCCCCACAGAUGCUGAGGGAGCUGGGCUGUGCCAGCUCUUCCCCACAGGAGACUUCUCAGAUCCAUUCAGGCCCUUUGCUCUCGGCCAGCCUGGCUGAUUGGAAGGGGCUGUGCUUUUUGAGCAGGAUUCCUGUAAAU
ensembl:lncRNA